CAACAAACACAUGGGAAGUGGACACUCCAGUUAAACCACCAGAUGUACUUUUCAGCAUAUUUCUUGGCAGUGUAACACAUGAUCAGAUAUUGAAGGUAUCAAGAGAAGGGAAAAAAAAAAUGCAAGUAAAAUAACUGAUUUUAUCAGUUCAAACAAGUUUCUUUGCUGAUUUUUAGCUUGAUGGCGGUGUAGAUUAUUUCAGUUUCAUCUCAAUUCUGAUAUGAAGAUUUGCUUUAGAUUUCUUUCAUAAACCAACCCAUGACCCUUCAUUUGGAAGUGUAAUGUUUAGCAUGCCAUUGCAUGGCAGCGUUGGUUGAUCUUUUAUGAGAGGAUCUAUGCAGCUUUAUUUAUUUUUAGUUUUGUUUCCUUGGAGGACUUGGGAUUAUUAUAAAGUAUUUGAUUGUCGUGUAUCAUGUUUCCUCUUUUGGAAGAUUGGAAACUUUCACGGAAAAUUGGGUACUUUGGAUUACCAGUGCUGUAUAUAAAACUUUUGCUUGGAAAUAUUUUCCUUCAA